ensembl:snRNA U12 U12 minor spliceosomal RNA
CUGCCUUAAACUAAUGAGUAAGGAAAAUAACAAACCAGGGUGUUGCCUGGUUUAUUCACUACUUGUGAAAUGAAUUUUUGAGCAGGUACAGGCCUUCCCUUGCAGGUCUAUCUACUUUGUGGGACCGUGAGGUGCACUGGACUGCCUA